CGCAGGCCGAGAGUUGCAGACUCCGAGGCUCGGGCCUCGCUGGCUGGUGGGAGGAGCGGGGUAGGGGCGAGGCUGGCGGAGAUCCAGGGGAUCGCCCGGCUGGGCCCUGCGCACCCCGGAUCACCAGCUUCGGGCGCUGGUUCCCACCGAGGCUGUUCAGGCGCCGCCCGCCCACGUCCCUGCGACAGGAGGCGGCUGCUGGGCGCGCUCCAGGCCCCGACUCGCGGAGACGCCUGGCCCGGGCCUUGUCCGCAGUGGGCGGCUGGAGCGGGCGCGGCGUCUCAGAGCCUCCGGGACCCUGGGGAAGGGCGCGCCUCGGAGUUGCCCGAGGCCGGGCCCGGCGUCCCCGCGCCCCGCCCCUCCCUGGCCCCUCCCCGGCCCCGCGCGCCGCCCUCCACCCCGGCUCCCUCGCGUUCUUUCUGCCUCCGGCAGAGCCUGCGCGUCUCCCCCGGAUGGCCACGGACCCGCAGCCUCAGCGAGGACGCUGCCUGCGUCUCGGCUGCUUGGACCUUCCCGCGUGGCUCCCAGGGAAGCCCAGCGGCUGGAGGGCGCAGGAUCCGCCUGACGCACCCCUCCCCACGGGAAGAACGGGGCGAAGGUCCAGGAGGGACGUAAGCCGGACUCCCCCAGCAUGCUGAUCCGAACCCGCGCGGGGAAAUCUGCGCAAACCAAAGGAGGGAAGACUCAGGCACCCCCCAACCCCCCAGGGAGGCCCAGGUGAAAAACAGACGCCGGCCUCUCCUCUCCCCCUGCGGAUGAUCCCAGCACUCCCACCCCCGCCUCUGCAGCCCCCGAGUUCGGCUCCCUCAGCCCCACAUCCUCUCUGGUCACCUAAGUGCCCAGCUGCUCAGGGAGCAUGUCGCGAAGGAUAGGGAAGGACAGGGGUCUGCUUCCCCAGCCGCCCUCCAGACCCCCAGGGCUGGUAGGGGCCGGCAACCCUGUGCCCCAGCCUGGCCCGUGAGGGGGGCACACCAGGGUAACACAGUAGCAGGAGGGGGAGAGAGCCUGGCUAGCGCAUCCACCUCAUCGUCACCUUCCUUGUGUCCAGGGUGCAGAUGCCAGGGCUCUGAGGCCCUGAGAUCCUGUCUGGGGCGAGGGGACUUCCUCCAUCCACUGCAUCCACUACCUGGCUGAGUCAAGAGCCCACUGAGCAAGCAGACCCUCCACAGCGAGGCACUCAGGCCUCACAUGGUCACGGUGCUUAUGCUCUGGGCCAGCCUGGAUUGCUCAUCCCUGUCUGAGAUUGGGAUUCACAGGGUCUUCCAGUUCCCCCUCUUUCUUUCUCUACUGAUUGAGAAACACAGAGUCCUUUCACCGCUCCAGGACCUGGCCACUGCGUGUUCCCUGCAGCCUUGAACUCAGGCUGGGGCCUGGCACAUUCCCUGAAAAAGCUGUUUAAGUUGCUUAAAAACACAGUCAACCCUAUUGCUGAACACAUAGAAACUGGCCCUGCCCUGAGCCCAAUCCCUUAAACUCUCAUCUAAGCUCCAUGGCCAGACUCCCUUGCUGCAAACAUGCUUGGGUAAAGCAUCCCUUGCCUCACCGUUGAUCCCAAGAAUGCUGAAGCUCCAUAUGAAAAUGUCUGGAAGAAAUGCUCUGGACUGAUCGUUUACCACUUCUUUCCUUGGAAUCCCAACCAAUUCCAUUUGGGGACAGUUUGGGGAAGUCUUUUGAGGCAACUCCCUUGCUGCCACUUUUGGGGCAACUCUAAACUCCUCAUAUUUGGUCAGAUAGAACAGUUCCAAGCUGUAAAUGUUACCAGGAAAAAAAUCUCAACUACAAAGCCACUUUCAAGGUGAUGCUGCAUUUCCAACAGCACUCUCCGAAUCCGAGUGGAUGGCCCAGAGCAAUGGUGCUUCCAACCGACAGAGCCCCUCCACAGGUCCCUUACCAUCUGCAGACACCCAUAUCUCAAGGAACAGCUGCAUUGCUGGAGUUGGGGGUGCUGUACCGUGGAGGAGAGAGGGGAGCUGUCAAUCAACCACCAUUGCAGGCUCUGGGGCGCCCGACUGGCGACAGAGAUGGUUGCUCUGGCUAGAACUUCUGUAGUGCAGCUUCGAGAAAGCCUCUGAGGUCCUGGGUCUGGGGCAUGGUAGAGAGAUCCAUGUAACAGGAAGAAAGAAAGUGGCAGCCCAGGUCCAUGCCUGAGUCUCCUGGUGAGACACGGACUCCUUCCAGCAGACUGGAGUGACCAGAAAUGCCCCGAAAGAGGGUGGCCCUGCCUCUGCGUCCCGUCUGCAGUCUGCACCUCGCUGAGCUUACUGUGUCUCUCCCACCUUGUCUCAGCCUUUGCUUCCAGUCUGCAGUCUGCACCUGGCUGAGCUUUACUGUCCCUGUCUCCCCCACCUUGUCUCAGGCGCUGCACAAUAGAGGUUCAGAAGCUGAUUGGACCUGAGCUGGUACUGGGACCGGGAACAAAAAGAGACAGAAACUUGUAAACAUGACCCAGCAAUAAGGGGUUGGGGAAGGUGAGCAGGGAUUCCAGCUUCUGUGAACGGGGUCCACCAGAGUAAAUGGAUUGUGUCCAAGAUGAGUUAGAAUGUCUUGAGAUGAACCUAUCCUGGAUGCUUUGGAAAUAGCUACGGAGAGCAACAGAAGUUACAAGUGAGUCUGGUUAUGACACAGGACUCUUUCCGGGCCACUUUGCCAGCCGGAGACCUCCAUGCUGGCAACGCCCCUGCCCAAGGCCUCACGGCUCCAGGCUGUUAGAGGUACCUGCCCACUCGACCCGGCAGGCUGCACCUGGCUUGUGCUUCAGGCUGGAUCCCACACUCGCCAUAGGAUCUGCACUCGGCCUGCGGCUGGGCCGGGCGUGCCACCACCUGCUUCCACCUCGGGCGCCAACGUCUGGAUGAGAGGAACGUGGUGGCUCCUGAAAAACCUGGAGACACCAGAAACCCUGGCUCCCCAUAGGAGGUGUUACUCCUCCUGCCCGUGCUGUGGGUAUGAAGGUUCGUGCUGCACAUCCCGGUUUCCAGCACAGGACAAAGACUCAGAGAGGCACCUGCUGGGAGUCUCAGGCGAUGGGACCCAGUGGCAGGCAUGUGAGCAGCUGCCCCAGGUGAAAGAGAUCUUGGCACAGCUCUUGGUUUCCCAGGCUGGCCCUGACCUUCGUGCUUUCCCACCCAUGGCCCAGACAUCUGAGCUCCAUGUUGGGGAUGCUCAGGGACAACCCUUCAGCCUCCCCCACCAUGUCCCGGCUACUGCCCAGGGUUCUUGUUCUCUGGAGGGUGGAUCCAGCCCUCCCCAUCUUGGUGCCCUACCAGGGCCAGGCUUCCCAUGGCUCUUUCUGCAGCCCCUGGCAUGGACUGUGGGGUGCACAGCCCAGGGAGCACUGGGCCUUGGAGGGGCCAGGUGUGCAUGUUCCCACCCCCACCAUGGAGUUUGACACACCAGUGGGCAGGUAACUCAAUCCCCCCUCACCUUCUCUUCAUCUGUUAGGGGUGACAAGGUAUUCCCAGUGGGGCCGAGAGGAUGCAGCACCCCCAUUGGCUCCCCCUCUGGCCACACCCUUCUCUCCUGCCCACCUUCUGAGCUGGCAGGGCUUCCUUCCUGGCUUCUGCUGGGCAGUGUAUUAGGGUCCUCUAGAAAGACAAAACCAAUAAUAGAGUUUAGGAGAGGGGAUUUUUAUUUAUUUUUUUGAGAGAGAGUCUUGCCCUGUCACCCAGGCUGGAGUGCAGUGGCUCAAUCUCAGCUCACUGCAACUUCCACCUCCCAGGUUAAAGCGAUUCUCCUGCCUCAGACUUCCGAGUAGCUGGGAUUACAGGCAGCCACCACCAUGCCCAGCUAAUUUUUGUAUUUUUAGUAGAGACAGGGUUUCACCAUGUUGGCCAGGCUGGUCUCAAACUCCUGACCUCAGGUGAUCCGCCUACCUCUGCCUCCCAAAAUGCUGGGAUUAUAGGCAGGGGCCACAGUGCCCGGCCAGGAGAGGGGUUUUAUUAGGGGAACUGGCCCACACUUACAGAGGCUGAGAAGUCCUCCCAUAGGCUGUCUGCAACCUGGAGACCCAGAGAAGCCAUUAGUGAGGCUCAGUCCAGGUAAGAAGGCAGUUGAACCAAGGAAGCCAGUGGUGUAACUCUCAUUCUGAGGCUGACUGGCCAGGAGCCCUGGGAGGCCUCUGUGGCAAGCCUGAGUCCAAAGGCCAAAGAACCUAGAGUCCUGAUGUCCAAGGGCAGGAGAUGGGUGUCUCCCUCCAGAAAAGAGAAUAUGCUUCUCUUCUCCCUUUGUGUUCCAUCUGGGCCCCCAGCCAGGUGGAUGUGCCUGCCCACACAGGGCAGAUCUUCACUGAGUCCACUGAAAACAUCCUCACACUCAGAAACAAUGCUUAGCCAGCUGCCAGAUGCAGUGUGUGUGUCUUAGUCCCAGCUACUCAGGAGGCUAAGGUGAGAGAAACGAGCCUGGGAGCUCGAGGCUGCGGUGAGCCACAACUGUGCCACUGCACUCCAAGCUGGCUGGCAGAGAGAUCCUGUCUCAAAAA